rnacentral:misc_RNA from 1 species
AUACUGUAAUUUCUUUUCUAGUGUCACUGUCUACUAACCAAUAUUGAAGCGCCACACGUCCAGCGGACAACUUGUGAAGCAUAACCGACAGGAUAUAAGGGAUCUUGGUUACGCGGCCCGCACCCACAUCCAGAGUUUCGCGACAUAUAACGACCGUGAUCAGAGUUCAUAUGGUUGACAGUCUUUAAAUAUCUUCGGUCAACGCCCUAGGUGAGGUACACAGCCACCUGUAGUAAGCUACAGGAGUUCCGGGACUUAUCUGUAUAAACUGGUAUAAACGCCACAGUCUUUAAAUAUGCUCAUUGUCAGUCAAAGACCGAGGAUAUAAUACAAACACUUGUUCGAAAUAGCACCUUAUAUUUUCGUGUUGUGUAUAGAUUAAACCUUAAAUUUUGUACCUACGAAUCCGUAAUCAGUUCGUUUAUUAUUCUAACCUUUAAUUGCAAGUUCAAUUCAUGUAUUCUUCGCGUUCUCUAACGUGGCGUGUUGUUCGCAGUUUAAACGUCAAAGAAAACUCGUGCAACGUUGGUAUAAUACUACUGACCUUUUUCAAAAUAGCUAACAUCUUUACUUCCUGGAUUAAUCGUUUGUUCAUCUAUUCUACUACUGAUAGAAACUAAUAAUCAAAAAUAAAUUAAUUCUACUGUCGCUUCCGACACACCGACUCUUUCUUGGCUAGUGACUACCAUGAAGUAGAAGAGGGUAUCACCUGUACAUUUAGUGCCAAUAAUAGUCUUAUUAAGUACAAUUCUUUACAAUAUUGCCCAACCAUGGCUCAAAUACAGUCUGCAAACCUAGACGGGUUGCCAAAAGGCUUUGUCUCUGCAAUGAGAACCUUAUUUGACAUAAUGGACGAUGAGCGUAGUGGAUUUGUUAAAUUUGCUGAUAUUCAAGAGAGGUGGCAAGACGACGGUACGCAGGGCUUGCCCAAAGGGGUAUUAGAAAGCCUGAAGAAAGUUACACCAGUCAAUGGUCUUCUAUCUUUUGAACGGUUUUGCACUGGCCUUAAAAUUUGUUUGCUACAAAUUAAAUCUGAAGCAGAAGCUAACAAGUUAGAAGUACCACAAAACAGACCACCAUCCGCUCCUGUCUCAAUUGUCGAUGGGCAAAACAAAGUACCUUGGACUUCUCCAAACACAGCCACAAUUCAUCCCAAUAAUGCAAUCGCCCAGCAGCGAACCCUUAGUAUGCCACAACUUCUGGGAGGUCGUAAAGAAAGUAAUGUUGCACUGGAAGCAGUUGAUAACAGAACUGUACCGGAACCAAAAAUAACAAAGCCAUACGGACCACCAAAACCUCCAAGAACCGGAGCUGGAUUAGAAGGAAGAGCCUCGUUGGGUGUGAAUUUUGAAAGAAACAUUGACAAAUCUGAGAUUCGAACUGCAUUGCAAAAUUGGCAGAUGGGUUUGAUGAUGGGGGACGAAAAGUCACUUGAAAAGAGACAAGUCAGUGCAAUGAAUUAUCAAGCGGAUCCGAGAAGUCUUGUAAGAACAGCGCGAGUUUUGGGUGAUGGGAAAGCUGUAGAUACACAAAAUAAUCAGAUCAAUGUUCAACAGAAAAAAUCAUUGGGGCGGCGCCGUGAGCCUAGACGACAUACGUUGCAGAACGGUAUUGAUUAUAAUAUGAUGAAACGGAUGAAACAGAUCGAACAAGAAAAAGAUGUGCUGCUGCAGGGUCUGACUGCUGUUGACAAAACUCGUGAAUGGUACCUCAAACAGAUUUCUGCAACUCAAGAAAAAAUUAAACACGUGGGUCGCGUGGGUUCACAUGUGGAACAAUGGACUGAAGCUCAGCAGGAAAGGUUGGAACUGCAACGAGCAAGAGUACUCGAAGUUAACCGGCAUCUCGCGGCAUUAAUAAGUAGCUGGGAACGUGGUGGCUUACCACUACAUAUGAAUUUAGCUGUUAUCAGCCAUCCUACUACGGCGCAAUUGCAUCAAGAUAUAGUAUCCCGACUUAAACAACAAAACCACAGAUUAACGGAGGAAGUAAAUAAGAAAAGUCAACGUAUCGCCAUAUUAGAACAAGAAAAAGACAAUUUAAUGCGUGAAGUUUAUAAUCGGCAGUCGGGAAUGAGUCAACCUCGAAGAUCGACUAUGAUCCAUGAGCCACACGAUCAGACAUUCAUCAUUUAGUGACUACUUUCACGAUCUGAUUUCCUGAACCAAGCACUUAUCGUUUCAAAUAGAUAAUAUUCCGUCCAGAAAAGGAAACUUCCUGAGCCGAAGCCAAUUUUCAUAUUAUAAAGAUAUAUGGGGUAUUUAUUGUAAUAAGUCUAUUUGUACAAUAGAUUAAAAAGUCGAUAAGGUUGAUAAUUAUUACUGAUUCACAGGUACGGUGAUUUACCUUUGUAAAACACUAAUUUAUGACUGUGAAAAUUGUUGUAAAAUUAAUUGUUUUGCAACAAUAUUUAUUGAGUAAUUUAUAAAUAAAAGUUUUUUAGCAUAGUUUCAUUUAAUUAGUUAUAACGAGACUUUCAUUAUUUCUAAUCUUAUUGAUAGAACAAAUGUACAUAAAUGGUAGUACACACA